rnacentral:sRNA from 1 species
UUGCGUUAGGGAUAGUAGUGGAAAUCCUUUUUUGGUUAUUGGUUAUUGGUUGGUAGUUGGUGGUGUUUUACAUUGUAUUUCUUAUGAAAAUAAAAACCAAAAAAGAUUGCAACGGAUAGCCCGACCCUUG